AAUCGGCCACAUUGGGACUGAGACACGGCCCAAACUCCUACGGGAGGCAGCAGUAGGGAAUCUUCCACAAUGGACGAAAGUCUGAUGGAGCAACGCCGCGUGAGUGAAGAAGGGUUUCGGCUCGUAAAACUCUGUUGUUAAAGAAGAACAUAUCUGAGAGUAACUGUUCAGGUAUUGACGGUAUUUAACCAGAAAGCCACGGCUAACUACGUGCCAGCAGCCGCGGUAAUACGUAGGUGGCAAGCGUUGUCCGGAUUUAUUGGGCGUAAAGCGAGCGCAGGCGGUUUUUUAAGUCUGAUGUGAAAGCCUUCGGCUCAACCGAAGAAGUGCAUCGGAAACUGGGAAACUUGAGUGCAGAAGAGGACAGUGGAACUCCAUGUGUAGCGGUGAAAUGCGUAGAUAUAUGGAAGAACACCAGUGGCGAAGGCGGCUGUCUGGUCUGUAACUGACGCUGAGGCUCGAAAGUAUGGGUAGCAAACAGGAUUAGAUACCCUGGUAGUCCAUACCGUAAACGAUGAAUGCUAAGUGUUGGAGGGUUUCCGCCCUUCAGUGCUGCAGCUAACGCAUUAAGCAUUCCGCCUGGGGAGUACGGCCGCAAGGCUGAAACUCAAAGGAAUUGACGGGGGCCCGCACAAGCGGUGGAGCAUGUGGUUUAAUUCGAAGCUACGCGAAGAACCUUACCAGGUCUUGACAUACUAUGCAAAUCUAAGAGAUUAGACGUUCCCUUCGGGGACAUGGAUACAGGUGGUGCAUGGUUGUCGUCAGCUCGUGUCGUGAGAUGUUGGGUUAAGUCCCGCAACGAGCGCAACCCUUAUUAUCAGUUGCCAGCAUUAAGUUGGGCACUCUGGUGAGACUGCCGGUGACAAACCGGAGGAAGGUGGGGAUGACGUCAAAUCAUCAUGCCCCUUAUGACCUGGGCUACACACGUGCUACAAUGGAUGGUACAACGAGUUGCGAACUCGCGAGAGUAAGCUAAUCUCUUAAAGCCAUUCUCAGUUCGGAUUGUAGGCUGCAACUCGCCUACAUGAAGUCGGAAUCGCUAGUAAUCGCGGAUCAGCAUGCCGCGGUGAAUACGUUCCCGGGCCUUGUACACACCGCCCGUCACACCAUGAGAGUUUGUAACACCCAAAGUCGGUGGGGUAACCUUUUAGGAACCAGCCGCCUA
rnacentral:rRNA from 2 species